rnacentral:lncRNA from 1 species
CUUAAGUGUGGCAUCUCAGGAUCUGAACUCCCACCUCUGAGAUGCAUCAUCCCUUUGUCACAUGGAAGGAAAGCCUGUAGUGUUUGCUGCCUCCUGUUUCCUGCCCCUUUGUUCGCAAGUACACUCGUCUUUUUUUGUUUGUUUCAACAGUAGAAAGAAAUGCAUGUCCUUUUGGAACUUAAGACGAAAGAUAAUUGUGAUUGGAGUUUUCCCACACCAUAAGGUGUGCCUUGUCUCCUGCAGGGCGGGUCAUCUGUGGGCUGUCCUCCACUUCCUCUGGGUGCUGAGUGAGCAACAGUGAGCAACAGCAGCUCUGGCUCAGAAUUGCUUCAGCUGUUUGGGCUCUUUUUUGGUUUCCCGUGAAUUUUAGAAGUUUUUCCUAGUUCUGUGAAAAAUGACAUUAGUAGCUUGAUAAGAAUAGCGCUGAAUCUAUAGAUUACUUUGGGCAGUAUGACCAUUUUAAUGAUGUUGGUUCUUCUAAUCUAUGGGCAUGGAGUAUUUUUCCACUUGUUUGUAUCAUCGAUAAUUUAUUUCAACAGUGUUCUGAAGUUCUACUUGUAGAGAUCUUUCACCUCCGUGGUUAAAUUCCAAGCAUCUCCAAGCCUCUACCCCAAGUUAGCUCCAGGGAUUGGGAGCAACAAAGGGCUCUCCCUCAGCCUUGGAUCCCCAGUGGAAAGAAGAGUCAUAGAGGGAGGCUCUCUGCCUCUUUCACAUACUGGGGCUUCACUCACCUUAUCCGCCUGAUGCCAGCAUGGGGGCUUUUUGCCUGAAUUCUCCUUCCUGGGAUCUGAGGUGUCCUUCACAAUUCUUGUGGAUUUCCCAUUUUUCUUCUUAAAUUAAAGCUCACAGAGUUUAUCUUUAUGAAUUUCCAAGUGGCUAAGACAUGCUAAAAGCCUCUAAUUCACCAUCCUGGAAAAAGAGAUAUAAUAGUUUGAAAUACAAAGGUUAAUGCUGAAAAAUACACACACACACACAACUAGAAGAGUUGAAAAUGCCUUUAGGGGAGGAAAUGAAUGAGGUUCAGGGCAGGGGCAGGAACUGCUGUUUUUCAUGAUAAGUCUUAUAGAGCUAUUCGGCUUUUCAUAUAACAUUCAUGUAUAUCCUUAAAAGAAAUUAGAAUUACAUUUAAAGAACACCUGCAGGCAGAGGCCGGGAAUGUGCAGGUCAUACUUGGAUAAUGCUUCAUGUUGUAUUUGGUAGAAAUGGAAAAUCAAACAUCGUAUGUUCUCACUGAUAUAUGGGAGCUAAGCUAUGAGGACACAAAGGUAUAAGAAUGAUGUAAUGGACUUUGGGGACUUGGGCGGAAAAAUGGGAGGGGAGCGAGGGACAAAAGACUACAAAUAUGGUGCAGUGUAUAGUCUUCAGGUGAUGGGUGCGCCAAAAUCUCACAAAUCACCACCAAAGAACUUACUCAUGUAACCAAAUACCACUUGUACCCCAAUAACUUAUGGAAAAAUAAUUUUUUUUUGAGACAGAGUCUCACUCUGUCACCCAGGCUGGAAUGCAGUGGUGACAUCUUGGCUCACUGAAAGCUCUGCCUCCCGGGUUCACGCCAUCCUCCUGCCUCAGCCUCCCGAGUAGCUGGGACUACAGGUGCCCACCACCAUGACCAACUAAUUUUUUGUAUUUUUAGUAGAGAUGGGGUUUCACCAUGUUAGCCAGGAUGGUCUCAAUCUCCUGACCCUGUGAUCCGCCCGCCUUGGCCUCCCAAAGUGCUGGGAUUACAGGUGUGAGCCACCGCACCUGGCUGGAAAAAUUAAAAUUUUAAAAAAGAAGUAAAGGUAGAUGAAAGAAAGGGGGAGUAGUCAUGCAACUGAUCUCUUAUGGAAAUAAAGUAAGAACUAAAGUUUGGUUUGGAUAUAAGUGGAGGUGGACAAAGUUUGGCAGACCUUAAAGUAAAAUCACCCAUAGUGUUUAAUUGGAUUUUCAUGUGAAUCCAUUAUCAUUAUAGGGAGAUGAGGGUAACAAUUUAUCUCCAUUUUACAAAUGAGGAUCUGAAACUCACAAAGAUUAAGUGUCUUGGCAAGGGCACCCCACUUAUGAGAAGCAGAGCUGGGACGUCUAACGCCAAGUUCAUCACUCUUCUUAAUUUUGCAGUGCCUGUUACCCUAAAGAGUUGGGCCUGAGCUCAAGGAUGGAUUAUUGAUACAGAUAACAGGCAGCCCAAGAGGUGCAUUUAUUUAAACAGUUAUUGACUAACCAUCCACAUUCAUUCAGAUGAUUAUGUGGUGCUCAACUAGGUGAUCACUAUGCAUUGUUCACCUGUCCUGAAGCCAAUCCCAGAGAAACUGGUAAAAUAAGGUGACUCAGGCACAGACAGCUCUGACUCAGAGUAGAGCCUUCCUCAGACAUCUUGCUUUCUCUGCUUGAUUCUACUACUUAUAUUGAGUUUGCAGGUGUUCCCUACCUAGCUGCCUUUGAAAACACUCCAUCCUCACUAUGUCGUUUAGAAAUUAAAUCUGCCUGGGGUCUUGGCAGCAGUGACCAGUUUAUUCCAGUUUGCCUGGAACUGUCCUUGUUUUAAGCACUGAAAGUCUCACAACCUAGGAAACCCUUUAGUCUCGGGCCCAGUGGAAUGGCUGGUACUGUGGGGUAUGUGUUUCUUGGCCACAUUUUUGAAUAUGACCUAGUUUGGCCCAUACGCUUUAAGAUGAUUCAACAAAUUAUGAAUGGUUCUUUGAGAACUUUUCACAUUAAGUACCUUGGUCCUGGAUUCAGCUGAUUAGAGAAGCAGGAGACAUGCAUAUAUUCCUCUUGUUUUUCAUCCCCCCAGUGUUCCCAGCUGAACAAAAAUCUGGUUAUAUAAUCCAGGGCAAGUGAUUUAAACAGCCUCAUGUGCCUCAUUGGUACUAACAAUGCUUCACAGGGAUGAAAUAAGAAAUUCUCUUCUGCUCUUUCCAUGGUCUCCCUCUGAUGCCGAGCCGAAGCUGGACUGUACUGCUGCCAUCUCGGCUCACUGCAACCUCCCUGCCUGAUUCUCCUGCCUCAGCCUGCCGAGUGCCUGCGAUUGCAGGCGCGCGCCGCCACGCCUGACUGGUUUUCGUAUCUUUUUGGUGGAGAUGGAGUUUCACGCUGUGUUGGCCGGGCUGGUCUCCAGCUCCUAACCGCAAGUGAUCCGCCAGCCUCGGCCUCCCGAGGUGCCGGGAUUGCAGACAGAGUCUCGUUCACUCAGUGCUCAAUGGUGCCCAGGCUGGAGUGCAGUGGCGUGAUCUCGGCUCGCUACAACCUCCACCUCCCAGCCGCCUGCCUUGGCCUCCCAAAGUGCCAAGAUUGCAGCCUCUGCCCGGCCGCCACCCCAUCUGGGAAGUGAGGAGCGUCUCUGCCUGGCCACCCAUCGUCUGGGAUGUGAGGAGCCCCUCUGCCUGGCUGCCCAGUCUGGAAAGUGAGGAGCGUCUCUGCCCGACUGCCAUCCCAUCUAGGAAGUGAGGAGCGCCUCUUCCCGGCCGCCAUCCCAUCUAGGAAGUGAGGAGUGUCUCUGCCCGGCCGCCCAUCGUCUGAGAUGUGGGGAGCACCUCUGCCCUGCCGCCCCAUCUGGGAUGUGAGGAGCAUCUCUGCCCGGCCGCCCCGUCUGAGAAGUGAGGAGACCCUCUGCCUGGCAGCCGCCCCGUCUGAGAAGUGAGGAGCGUCUCCGCCCGGCAGCCACCCCGUCCGGGAGGGAGGUGGGGGUCAGCCCCCGCCAGGCCAGCCGCCCUGUCCGGGAGGGAGGUGGGGGGUCAGCCCCCGCCAGGCCAGCCGUCCCGUCCGGGAGGGAGGUGGGGGGUCAGUCCCCCGCCCGGCUUGCCGCCCCGUCCGCGAGGGAGGUGGGGGGGUCAGCCCCCCACCUGGCCAGCUGCCCCAUCCGGGAGGGAGGUGGGGGGGGUCAGCCCCCCUCCCGGCCAACCGCCCCGUCCGGGAGGGAGGUGGGGGUUCAGCCCUCCGCCCAGCCAGCCAUCCCGUCCGGGAGGGAGGUGGGGGGGUCAGCCCCCCGCCCGGCCAGCCGCCCCGUCUGGGAGGUGAGGGGCGCCUCUGCCCGGCCGCCCCUACUGGGAAGUGAGGAGCCCCUCUGCCCGGCCGCCACCCCGUCUGGGAGGUGUACCCAACAGCUCAUUGAGAACGGGCCAGGAUGACAAUGGCGGUUUUGUGGAAUAGAAAGGGGGGAAAUGUGGGGAAAAGAUUGAGAAAUCGGAUGGUUGCCGUGUCUGUGUAGAAAGAAGUAGACAUGGGAGACUUUUCAUUUUGUUCUGUACUAAGAAAAAUUCUUCUGCCUUGGGAUCCUGUUGAUCUGUGACCUUACCCCCAACCCUGUGCUCUCUGAAACAUGUGCUGUGUCCACUCAGGGUUGAAUGGAUUAAGGGCGGUGCAAGAUGUGCUUUGUUAAACAGAUGCUUGAAGGCAGCAUGCUCCAUAAGAGUCAUCACCACUCCCUAAUCUCAAGUACCCAGGGACACAAACACUGUGGAAGGCCACAGGGUCCUCUGCCUAGGAAAACCAGAGACCUUUGUUCACUUGUUUAUCUGCUGACCUUCCCUCCACUAUUGUCCUGUGACCCUGCCAAAUCCCCCUCUGCGAGAAACACCCAAAAAUGGUCAAUAAAAAAAAAAAAAAUUUCCCGCCCCCCAAAAAAAAAAAAAAAAAAGAAAGGCAACUCUGAUAGCUAGGCACAGAUAGGUUGUAUAAUGGACAUGCGCUCAGAUACCAGGGUGAAGGCUAUGCCAGUAAUGAUGUGUGUUUUUCCUUUAGGAAAAUAAAACUUGUUUAUUAUGUAAAAUGUAUAAAUCUCAGAAAAGCAGAUAUAAAAAAAUUAAAAUCAGAUGUCUACCAACCACAAAAAAAAAAAAAAAAAAAAAAGAAAUUCUGUUCUUUAUAGACGUUGUAACAACUUAUUUACUUUCUGUCUCCUUUCACUCAAAUGUGAGGUUCAAGGGAUUUUGUCUAUUUUUUUGGGGGGGCGUUGGGGAGACAGAGUCUUGCUAUGUCACCU